rnacentral:lncRNA from 1 species
ACUAUAUAAAUAUAUUUUACAAAAUCAUCAAUACAUCAAUAAUAUACAAAAAUAAUAUAAAUAAUGCUACAUAUACAUCAAUAAUAUAAUAAAGUGGUGCAUACUUGCUCCCUCAUCUUACCAAUUAUUUUUGAAAAAACUUCAAAAAUUCUCCUGUAGUUUCGUAGUUUCUCAUUUUGCCUCCAUGUGGGUUAAAGUGUAUCAAUUUGCCCUCCGUGGGUUCGUUUUUAUUUUUUCGGUAACUUUUUCGUUAAUAUUUCGUUAAUUAUAUACAAAAAAUUUCAGAUACCCAUUUAGAUUUAUCAAAUAUUCACUUCAGUAUUUUUUAAUUUUAACUUUAUUACUAAUUUAAGAAAAAAAUAAUGAAAUUGAUAAGGAAAAAAAAAACGAAACCACAGAGGGAUAAAUUAAUAUAUUUUAAAUCACAAGGGUUCAAAAUGAAAAAAUACGAAACUACGUGAGGAUUUUUUUUUAAGUUUUCUCAUUAUUUUUCUUAGUAAAACU